CCGACUGCUGGCGCGUGACGCCGGGACGCCCGGCGCUUUCCCGCCGGCAGUGGCGGCUGGCCCGGGAGACAGCGGGGCAGUGAGGCUGGGCCCCGGCGAGAGCUCUGGGGAGCGCGGGGCCGCGGAGUCGGGAGGCUGGCACAGAAAGGGCCCGCGCACACGCGCGCCCCUGCCCGACGCGGCGUUCCCCGGUGCGUUUUUGUGCGAUUCUGCCCAAGCAGGCCCUGCACCCGGCCCGGGCGGGAGGGCGGGCACGGACCCACUUGCUCUCCGCUGCCUGGAACAAAGGGCGCAGGGUUUAACCUCAGCCCGCUGAGCGUGCAUUUGCUGGCGCCCGUGCAGCCUCUGCCUGUGCAGCCCUGCCUGCUCUAACUUCGAGAGUGAAGCCCUGAGAAGGACGUGCAGGCAGUGGGUACUCGAAGGAACCCCCGUGAAGCCCUCUGUCGCGGGAUUCGCUAACCCUUGCUGCAGAUUCCCCCAAACGUUUCCUUUUUGGUGGAAGCACUUUGCCCCGGUUCACGUGCCUCCAGUACCAACUGUGUGCUGGCUGGCGACUCUGCUAGGUUCUGGGGAUAUGGAAGUAAAAGGCAAUCUUUCUGCCGGCAGACCGCUCAGUUUAGUGGGGAGGAAAGAUAAAUGAGCAGAUAAGACCUAACGCAUGAUAAAUGUUAAGGACGGAGACCCAGGGGAACAAAGAAGAAAGAUACCCAUCCGACUAGACGUCCAGGAAGGCUUCUCAGAGGAAGUGGCACCCAGGGUAAAUCUGGAAGCAGCAGCAGCUGUUGGAGAAGAAGCUGUGGAGUGAUUGAGCCUGAUGAGUACUUUGCCAUCCCGUUCCCCUGAGGAGGACCCGUGGAACUUAGGGGCUGGGGUGGACUCAGAGGGAGUGACUGAGACUAGGUCCUGAAGAUUCUCUGUAGGCUUACAAGGAGUUUGGAUUUUGUCCCUGAGGCAGUGGGGAGGCAGACAGGUUUUAAGGGGAGGGUGGUGUCAUGCCAUGUGCUCUUUCAGAACGAAGGUGUAGCAGCAAGAGUGAGGUCAGGGAAAGCAUGACUCUAAGCCCCAGGGGAUACCGGGGACUUAAGGCAACAGAGUGGAGCAGGAAAGACAAGGUCAGAUUUUUAGCAAGUAGAAUGAACUGCCUGGGACAGAAUGACAGAUUGAGGAACAGGGAGUUGUCAAGGAGCCUGCUCAAGGUUCUGGUUGGAUGAGAGCUGUGUGUGGUGGAUUUGUAAGUCAAUUUGGGGACUAUGGGGAGGAAGGAAUGGGUUUGAGUGAAGGUAGAAUGAUGGUAAACACUUGUAGAUUCUUUACCGUGUGCUGGAGUCUAUGCAAUACACAAUUCCGUGUUAUUUAAUCUCUGUAACAGGCUUCUGUUUGAGGUGGCUAUCAGUAAUGCCUUGUUUCAUAGUUGAGGAAGUGAGGCCCGAUUCUAUUAACAUGCCCAGAGCCACAUGAUUUCCUUCUGGGGCUGGUGGAGUUGGAGGUGCCCCUGGGGCACAUCAGUGAAGAUGUCUAGGAGGCAGUUGGGUAAACACCUGUGGAGCCUGGAGAGCUGGCUGAGAGCAAGCGGAGACCUGGGAGUCAUUAGGGCACAGCCAGGGGUGGGAGGAUCUAAAAUAGGGAAAGCAGGCGGGGAACAGAGGUCUGGAAGGGGGAAGAAGCUGGGAGAAGAAGCUGAGAAAGAAGAGACCAGGAGACCAGGUCAGCCCUGCCUCGUGCUGAAGAUAGCAGGUGGCAAGACACGGACUGGAAAGUACCUGACAGCAUCUAGGAUCCCAGGAGGGAACGCUGGCAGGAGUGGGUGUGGACAGAAGCCAGACUGACGUGCAUCCAAGAGGGGAAGGCAAAAGGAGAUAUUUCACGGACACUUGGCUGUGAAGGCAGGUUGUGACGGCAUCAAGAGAAAGCUGCAGGAUGAAGGAAGGCUCCUGGAGUCUCUCAGCUUGAGAUCCUGUGAGAUGACCAACCCAGGGCCCAUGGACCAAACCCAGGCAGAGCACUGGACAGGGAGCAAGACUCAGUGCGGACGGUGGCUGCCCAGUCAAGGACGUUGUCCAGGUACAGUCAUGUGAUUAGUUCUCAGCAGUGGAAUGUGAGCAGCAGUGAUGGGAAUCACCCAGGACUAUCAUUUUCUCUGCUUCGAUUGGAUGCUCACUUAGCGGGAGAUGAUUUUGCAGGUAAGUGGAAGUAACAGAGAGGAGGAAGGUGCUUCUUUUUGUUGAUUAAUUCUGAGCCCUCCAAGAGCCAGGGCGGACCAGGGGUAUCUGAGUUAUUGCUAUAGUCUGAAUAGUCAUGUCCCCUAAAAUUCAUAUGUUGAAGUCGUAAUCCUCGAGGUGGUGGUAUUAGAAGAUGGGGCUUGGGGACAUGAUUAGAUCAUAGAAAUUACUGCCUUUAUAAAAGAGGCCCCAGAGAGCUGCCUUGCCCCUUCUGCCACAUGAGGACCCAGCAAGAAGAUGGCUGCCUGUCAACCAGGAAACGGGUUCUCACCAGACACUGAAUCUGCCAGCACCUUGAUCUUGGACCUCCCAGCCUCUCCAUGUAUAAGAAAUAAGUUUCUACUGUUUAUGAGACACUCAAAAAAUUGUAUUUUGCUAUAGCAGCUUAAUCAGACUAAGGCAGCCAUGUUGGUGAUGCAAAUGACCUGCUUGACAUUUGUCAUAGAUAACCUAAGUUUGUCAUGUAUGACUUAAGUUAUAACUUCAGCUCCCCAAGGCCCAGAGCUAUCUGCAUCUAGUUUGCCAUGGUAUCCCUAAAACUCAGCUUUGGUAAACACUUCAUUAAUACGUAUUGUAUGAAGAAAUGAAGUUCUGGCCAUCUUCUCCUGAGCAUUUGCUUUCUUGUGACCCCCACAACGGAUUCUUUUAACAAGUGAAUCUUUGCUUAAACGAAGCCGGGCCAACAUCUUUCUCAACAAGAAACCAGGCCGAUGAAUGUGGGAGGGACACCACAGGAAAAGAGUCUCCCAUCUGUGUCUUCCAGUGCUGUGUUGGGCAAUGGGUAUCUGGGAAGUCUGCAAAAUGAGAUCCUUCCUUCCUUCCUUCCUUCCCCUGUACCUUGUCAAAGGAAUUCAGCAGCCUAAGGUCGAAGGCUCUUUUGCUUGAUUUGGGGAAGUCAUUUAAUUGUGCUAAGCCUCAGUCCCCUCGUUUGUAGAAUGAGGAUAUGACGAUACUGACUUCCAGCUGCUGUCAGGGUCGUCGCAAAGAGCAAAUGAGAGAAUGACGCGGACGUCAGCGUUUUGCAAACUACCGAACUCUACGACGAUCGGUGAUCUUAUGGAAACUUGGAGAGGCUUGCAUCAGACUUCAGCCUUGCUCAGUUUGAGGACAUGACUUCUCACAGGCAACCUCUCCAUUAUUCAGAGUAGAAUUAAUGCUCUCGGUCCCAUGAGAGGCUAUCUUCUUCCUGUAUUUCCUUCUAUUUUUGGCAUUCAACGUUCUCCUCGGCAUUGUUUGUAGGUGGGCAAAUCUUAACCGGGUUUCUGUUCCUCAAAUCAGUUACUUAAUUUGCACUAGGGGGAAGGGUGGCCCAAGCGGAUUUUAUUACCACCCAGCCUUUCAUAAAUCUUUGCAGAGAGAAGCUUUGGUUGGUUGUCACGAGCCCGGGAUGGAGCUGAGCCCCCACUUGGCAGCCUUGUGACCUUGAUUGGCUUUUGGAUAGACCAAGCCCUGCUGCAGCGGACCUCAUGGUCCAGCCGUCCUCGUGCUUGUGGGAAAGAGGGUCCUGUAAUCGCAUCCCUCGGGAUUCGUGUUUGCUCCACAGUUCGCAAAUGAGAGGCUCGCUGCUGCUCCAAGCAUCCCAGUGAGGCUGCGUGAGAACAGCUACUUGCACCAGCCGUCUGUGUUUGGGCUCCCAGUGAUGAAGAUGAAGCCACGGCCUUUGUGCAGGGCGGGUGGUGCCGUGGGGAGUGGGAGCCGGGGAAGAUGGCCAGGCUUGAAUGGAGACGUGUGACCUCUCGGGAAACCGGCUUGCCUCCCCCGGGGUUUUCCUGUUUAGUUCUGCAGAAGGCAAAGGAAACCCAUGGUUUGGGAAAAGUCCUGUUGAUAUAAAACCAACCAGUUUAUUUUUAUUUAUUUUUUAAGAGAUCUUAUUUAGGG